AUCCACUUACACAUUCAUCCACUAGAACAUUGAGAAACUAUAGCAGUUAAGAGCAUGAAAGAAGUCAGAGCACAUGGUCCAUUGCAGCAAUAUUCACAAUGACUUAGAUUUAGUAAAAAACAGACCAAUAUGUUCAAACACUAACACGACAAUUACAAUCUGCAGGCUAAUAUCAGCAUAGGAAAGCAGUCCCCAUCACCCCAUCUGCCUCCAGAGAUACUCCAAUUGCAACGAAAGUAUGAUAUUAGCAUCAAAUAGUCAUGUCAAACAAUGCCAUUUAGAACUCAUGAAAUGGUAUAACAUCAUGUCCAGUAACCAGGGAAAAAGCCAAAGAGACAAGAUGAAUUGGAGAAUCAUAUUCAAGUGAUCUGGGUGCAAAGGAGACCAAUUCAUGAAAGACUCUACAGUCUGCAGGGUCUAUAGCCAAAUUGCAGCAGAGCACGAAUAUUAUGAUCAAGACUUUGUUUAUCAUAUAAGAAAAAACAGAUCUCAAAAUAGCAUUAAUAGUAGACACUACACGUCAACACCUCCAUUCAUAUAAGCUCGUCUUUAGUAGUUAUAAUAGAACAAUCUGAAAAACUCACCAUUUCUCCAAUUUGCAGUUUGGAUCACAACUAUGAUUCAAGAAACAAGACGCAUUCCCCUUGAAAGUUGCGUCGAUUGUGAAGUCCUUGCGAAUUUCACACAUAUAGAAAAUUUUCACCUCUUUGUUUUUCAUAUCCCAAAGCCUUUGUGUACGUACCAAAUCGUCAAUGACUGGAGUCUAGAGGAACAUAUAAAAUUACAGGUUAUGAGUACAUAGACAAAAUUCAUAUGCCUGAUUGACAUUAAUAACACAAAAUAAAUUUAGCUCCAAACACCACUUUUUCCUCUAAAUAUGAAAGUCAGGUGAGACACACAGUGGCAACGGAUCCUUUCCAUAGCAUAGAAUAAUGGAUCUAAAUGCAUUAUCGUAAAGACUUAAAUAAUAGUCUCCCCAACUACAAUAUACGAUUGAUAGCACAAGCAGCAAUUUUGCCUCUGAAAUGUAAAUGUCAAGAUAGUAAUAAGGAUUGCAAGCAAGAACCAUUUUCUUUGAAUGACCAUUUCAGAAGAGAGUGUUGGACUUACAGACAUCGAAGAAGACAAACAUACCUAAAUUAAGUCCAAUUGUAGCUUCAUUUGCUGCACAAUAAUCAUGGCAAAUAGUUCAAUUACAAUGAAUAUAUACAAAAAACAUGAAUUCCAAUAAAAGAAAUAUGGUAAUUUAAUUACCCUAACAAACAAGUAAGAGUUCGAGAUGAAUCAAUAAUUACCGGAAUGAUGUUCGAUUGGCGAUGACAUGGCGUGAUGGUGAUAGGCAGUAGCGUGGUGGUGAUAAAAUAAAGUUGCUUGAAUAGCGACGGAAUCCGCACGAAGACGAGCAGACUGCCGAAGGAAAUGACCGGUGAAUUCAU